CACUCCUACGGGAGGCAGCAGUGGGGAAUCUUGCGCAAUGGGCGAAAGCCUGACGCAGCCAUGCCGCGUGAAUGAUGAAGGUCUUAGGAUUGUAAAAUUCUUUCACCGGGGACGAUAAUGACGGUACCCGGAGAAGAAGCCCCGGCUAACUUCGUGCCAGCAGCCGCGGUAAUACGAAGGGGGCUAGCGUUGCUCGGAAUUACUGGGCGUAAAGGGAGCGUAGGCGGACAUUUAAGUCAGGGGUGAAAUCCCGGGGCUCAACCUCGGAAUUGCCUUUGAUACUGGGUGUCUUGAGUAUGAGAGAGGUGUGUGGAACUCCGAGUGUAGAGGUGAAAUUCGUAGAUAUUCGGAAGAACACCAGUGGCGAAGGCGACACACUGGCUCAUUACUGACGCUGAGGCUCGAAAGCGUGGGGAGCAAACAGGAUUAGAAACCCCAGUAGUCCCA
rnacentral:rRNA from 1 species